rnacentral:misc_RNA from 1 species
UCCGGUUUAUCACCGGCAGUAUCGUUAAAGUUCUCGGCAUAACCCGUUAGCAACUAACAACAAGGGUUGCGUUCGUUGCGGGACUUAACCCAACAUCUCACGACACGAACUGACGACAGCCAUGCAGCACCUGUGUGUGGUCCGGCCGAACCGACCCUUCCCAUUACGGAAGGUAUGACCACCAUGUCAAGAGCUGGUAAGGUUCUUCGCGUAGCUUCGAAUUAAACCACAUACUCCACCGCUUGUGCGGGUCCCCGUCAAUUUCUUUGAGUUUUAAUCUUGCGACCGUACUCCCCAGGCGGGAUGCUUAUUGCGUAAGCGCCGACACUGACCAGCAAUCUGGCCAACAUCUAGCAUCCAUCGUUUACAGCGUGGACUAC